AAAACUUUCAACAACGGAUCUCUUGGUUCUGGCAUCGAUGAAGAACGCAGCGAAAUGCGAUAAGUAAUGUGAAUUGCAGAAUUCAGUGAAUCAUCGAAUCUUUGAACGCACAUUGCGCCCCUCGGUAUUCCGGGGGGCAUGCCUGUUCGAGCGUCAU
rnacentral:rRNA from 3 species